UUAACCGAACACAACUGGAAAGUUGGACCGUAGGGGGUAAUAGUCCUGUAGGUGAAAAUUAUAAUUAUCAAGUUCUGAUCCAGAGUACCACGAGACACGUGAAACCUUGUGGGAAGCAGGGAGGACCACCUCCCAAGGCUAAAUACUACCUGAUGACCGAUAGUGAAGCAGUACCGUGAGGGAAAGGUGAAAAGAACCCCGGGAGGGGAGUGAAAUAGAACCUGAAACCAUGUGCCUACAACCGAUCAAAGCACCUUAUGUGUGUGAUGAUGUGCUUUUUGUAGAACGAGCCAACGAGUUACGGUAUGUAGCAAGGUUAAGUACUUAAGGUACGGAGCCGAAGGGAAACCGAGUCUUAAUAGGGCGACUAGUUGCAUGCUGUAGACCCGAAACCGGGUGACCUAUCCAUGGCCAGGUUGAAGCGAGGGUAAAACCUCGUGGAGGACCGAACCACGUUGCUGUUGAAAAAGCAUGGGAUGAGCUGUGGAUAGCGGAGAAAUUCCAAUCGAACUCGGAUAUAGCUGGUUCUCCUCGAAAUAGCUUUAGGGCUAGCGUCGGAAAAUGUGAGUACUGGGGGUAGAGCACUGAAUGGGCUAGGGGGCAUAGCGCUUACCGAACCUUAUCAAACUCCGAAUACCAGAUACUAUCAGUCCGGCAGUCAGACUGCGAAAGAUAAGUUCCGUAGUCAAAAGGGAAACAGCCCAGAUCGUCAGCUAAGGUCCCAAAGUGUAAGUUAAGUGGAAAAGGAUGUGGGAUUUCUAAGACAACUAGGAUGUUGGCUUAGAAGCAGCCACUCAUUAAAAGAGUGCGUAAUAGCUCACUAGUCAAGAGAUCCUGCGCCGAAAAUGUCCGGGGCUCAAACUUACCACCGAAGCUACGGGUUCACACU
rnacentral:rRNA from 1 species